rnacentral:rRNA from 1 species
AGUGAACGCUGGCGGUAGGCCUAACACAUGCAAGUCGAACGGCAGCACAGUAAGAGCUUGCUCUUACGGGUGGCGAGUGGCGGACGGGUGAGGAAUACAUCGGAAUCUACUUUUUCGUGGGGGAUAACGUAGGGAAACUUACGCUAAUACCGCAGACGACCUACGGGUGAAAGCAGGGGAGCUUCGGACCUUGCGCGAUUGAAUGAGCCGAUGUCGGAUUAGCUAGUUGGCGGGGUAAAGGCCCACCAAGGCGACGAUCCGUAGCUGGUCUGAGAGGAUGAUCAGCCACACUGGAACUGAGACACGGUCCAGACUCCUACGGGAGGCAGCAGUGGGGAAUAUUGGACAAUGGGCGCAAGCCUGAUCCAGCCAUACCGCGUGGGUGAAGAAGGCCUUCGGGUUGUAAAGCCCUUUUGUUGGGAAAGAAAAGCAGCAGGUUAAUACCCCGCUGUUCUGACGGUACCCAAAGAAUAAGCACCGGCUAACUUCGUG